GCCGAUGUAGCUCCGUUGGCCAGAGCACGUGAUUUGUAAUCUCGGGGUCGUGGGUUCGAUUCCCUCCAUCGGCU
rnacentral:tRNA from 1 species